GAUGAAGAACGUAGCGAAUUGCGAUAAGUAAUGUGAAUUGCAGAUUUUCAGUGAAUCAUCGAAUCUUUGAACGCACCUUGCGCUCCUUGGUAUUCCGAGGAGCAUGCCUGUUUGAGUGUCAUUAAUAUAUCAACCUCUUCAGCUUAUGCUUGUUGAGUGUUGGAUGGUGGGGGUUUGCUGGUGUCUUAUGAAGUCAGCUCCUCUGAAAUGCAUUAGCGGAACAAUUUGUUGACCGUUCAUUGGUGUGAUAAAAAUAUCUACGCUAUUGACGUCAGUCAGUUCAGCUUCUAACAGUCCAUUGACUUGGACAAAUUUUUCAUUAAUGUGACCUCAAAUCAGGUAGGACUACCCGCUGAACUUAAGCAUAUCAAUAAGCGGAGGA
rnacentral:misc_RNA from 1 species